rnacentral:tRNA from 1 species
GAGACAGGCUCAGUUGGUAGAGCACGACCUUGCCAAGGUCGGGGUCGCGAGUUCGAGUCUCGUUUCCCGCUCCA